rnacentral:rRNA from 1 species
AGAGUUUGAUCAUGGCUCAGGAUGAACGCUUGCGGUCGGCUUUACACAUGCAAGUUGAGCGGCAGCACGAGAUAGCAAUAUCUUGGUGGCGAGCGGCGAAUGGGUGAGUAACGCGUAGGUAACUUACCCCUAACAGGGGGAUAGCCCGGCGAAAGCUGGAUUAAUACCCCGGAGAUCUCAUUAUGGCCUCAUAAAGAGAUUAAAGCUACGGCGGUUAGGGAUAGGCCUGCGUCCCAUUAGUUAGUUGGUGAGGUAAUGGCUCACCAAGGCGACGAUGGGUAGGGGGUUUGAAAGGAUGAUCCUCCACACUGGUACUGAGACACGGACCAGACUCCUACGGGAGGCAGCAGUGAGGAAUAUUGCGCAAUGGGCGAAAGCCUGACGCAGCCAGACCGCGUGCAGGAAGACGGCCGUAAGGUUGUAAACUGCUUUUGUCAGAGAGGAAAACAGGGUAUGUAUACCCAUCUGACAGUAUCUGACGAAUAAGCACCGGCUAACUCCGUGCCAGCAGUCGCGGUAAUACGGAGGGUGCAGGCGUUAUCCGGAAUUACUAGGUUUAAAGGGUCUGUAGGCGGUAUUAUAAGUCAGUGGUGAAAGGUUCGAGCUCAACUCGGGAAGUGCCAUUGAUACUGUAGUACUUGAGUGUAAUUUACGUAGGCGGAAUGCAUCAUGUAGCGGUGAAAUGCUUAGAUAUGAUGCAGAACACCGAUAGCGAAGGCAGCUUACGGAGUUACAACUGACGCUGAUAGACGAAAGCGUGGGGAGCGAACAGGAUUAGAUACCCUGGUAGUCCACGCCGUAAACGAUGAUCACUAGUUUUUGGUAAUUUAUUAUCAGAGACUGAGCGAAAGCAUUAAGUGAUCCACCUGGGGAGUACGUUCGCAAGAAUGAAACUCAAAGGAAUUGACGGGGGCCCGCACAAGCGGAGGAACAUGUGGUUUAAUUCGAUGAUACGCGAGGAACCUUACCUGGGCUUAAAUGUAGGGCGUUUUCGGACGUAGACCGACGAAAGUUGGCUUAGACCUACAAGGUGCUGCAUGGUUGUCGUCAGCUCGUGCCGUGAGGUGUCGGGUUAAGUCCCAUAACGAGCGCAACCCUCAUCAAUAGUUGCCAACAGAUAUAGCUGGGCACUCUAUUGAAACUGCCAUCGUAAGAUGAGAGGAAGGUGGGGAUGACGUCAAAUCAGCACGGCCUUUAUGUCCAGGGCUACACACGUGUUACAAUGGUCGGUACAGAGGGCAGCCACUUGGUGACAAGGAGCGAAUCCCAAAAGCCGGCCACAGUUCGGAUUGGAGUCUGCAAUUCGACUCCAUGAAGCCGGAUUCGCUAGUAACCGCGUAUCAGCAAUGACGCGGUGAAUACGUUCCCGGGCCUUGUACACACCGCCCGUCAAGCCAUGGAAGCUGGGUGCACCUAAAGUCCGUGACCGCAAGGAGCGGCCUAGGGUGAAACUAGUGACUGGGGCUAAGUCGUAACAAAUCAC